ACGAACGCUGGCGGCGUGCUUAACACAUGCAAGUCGAACGGAAAGGCCCCUUUGGGGGUACUCGAUGGCCAACCGGUUAGUUAACAGUUGGUUACCCGCCCCUGGCAUUGGGAAUACCUCAGGGAAACGGGGGCAAUACCCGGAAAGGAUUCCUGCACCCAGGUGGGGGUUUGAAAACCUCCGGCGGUUUUGAUUGGACUCGCGGCUUAUCAGCUGGUUGGUGGGGUGGUGGCUUACCAAGGCUUUGACGGGUAGCCGGCCUGAGAGGCCGACCGGCCACAUUGGGACUGAGAUACGGCCCAGACUCCUACGGGAGGCAGCAGUGGGGAAUAUUGCACAAUGGGCGGAAGCCUGAGGCAGCAACGCCGCGUGCGGGAUGACGGCCUUCGGGUUGUAAACCGCUUUCAGCAGGGGCGAAGCUUGUGGUGACGGUACCUGCAGAAGAAGCACCGGCUAACUACGUG
rnacentral:rRNA from 1 species